rnacentral:misc_RNA from 1 species
CCGAGUUUUUAACUCCCAACCCGUGUGAACCAUACCGACGUAUUGCUGUCUUGUUGCUUCCGGCCGGCGGCGCCCUUGUCAGAAGGGGCGCCCGCAAGGCGCCUGGCGUGCGCGCCAGGGGCACCGGCCGGAGGUGGCAGGCACGGCCAUUGUUUAAAACACUUGCCUGAUUUGUGGCUCGUCUGAGCAAAAACAGAAAAGACAAAAUAGUCA